GGGCCGCUAGCUCAAUGGUAGAGCAAUUGACUCUUAAUCAAUAGGUUCCAGGUUCGAGUCCUGGGCGGCUCACCA
rnacentral:tRNA from 1 species